CCGAACCGACUAAUGUUGAAAAAUUAGCGGAUGACCUGUGGCUGGGGGUGAAAGGCCAAUCAAACCGGGAGAUAGCUGGUUCUCCCCGAAAGCUAUUUAGGUAGCGCCUCGUGAAUUCAUCUCCGGGGGUAGAGCACUGUUUCGGCUAGGGGGCCAUCCCGGCUUACCAACCCGAUGCAAACUGCGAAUACCGGAGAAUGUUAUCACGGGAGACACACGGCGGGUGCUAACGUCCGUCGUGAAGAGGGAAACAACCCAGACCGCCAGCUAAGGUCCCAAAGUCAUGGUUAAGUGGGAAACGAUGUGGGAAGGCCCAGACAGCCAGGAUGUUGGCUUAGAAGCAGCCAUCAUUUAAAGAAAGCGUAAUAGCUCACUGGUCGAGUCGGCCUGCGCGGAAGAUGUAACGGGGCUAAACCAUGCACCGAAGCUGCGGCAGCGACACUGUGUGUUGUUGGGUAGGGGAGCGUUCUGUAAGCCUGUGAAGGUGUGUCGUGAGGCAUGCUGGAGGUAUCAGAAGUGCGAAUGCUGACAUAAGUAACGAUAAAGCGGGUGAAAAGCCCGCUCGCCGGAAGACCAAGGGUUCCUGUCCAACGUUAAUCGGGGCAGGGUGAGUCGACCCCUAAGGCGAGGCCGAAAGGCGUAGUCGAUGGGAAACGGGUUAAUAUUCCCGUACUUGGUGUUACUGCGAAGGGGGGACGGAGAAGGCUAUGUUGGCCGGGCGACGGUUGUCCCGGUUUAAGCGUGUAGGCUGGUUUUCCAGGCAAAUCCGGAAAAUCAAGGCUGAGGCGUGAUGACGAGGCACUACGGUGCUGAAGCAACAAAUGCCCUGCUUCCAGGAAAAGCCUCUAAGCAUCAGGUAACAUCAAAUCGUACCCCAAACCGACACAGGUGGUCAGGUAGAGAAUACCAAGGCGCUUGAGAGAACUCGGGUGAAGGAACUAGGCAAAAUGGUGCCGUAACUUCGGGAGAAGGCACGCUGACACGUAGGUGAAGUGAUUUACUCAUGGAGCUGAAGUCAGUCGAAGAUACCAGCUGGCUGCAACUGUUUAUUAAAAACACAGCACUGUGCAAACACGAAAGUGGACGUAUACGGUGUGACGCCUGCCCGGUGCCGGAAGGUUAAUUGAUGGGGUCAGCGCAAGCGAAGCUCCUGAUCGAAGCCCCGGUAAACGGCGGCCGUAACUAUAACGGUCCUAAGGUAGCGAAAUUCCUUGUCGGGUAAGUUCCGACCUGCACGAAUGGCGUAAUGAUGGCCAGGCUGUCUCCACCCGAGACUCAGUGAAAUUGAACUCGCUGUGAAGAUGCAGUGUACCCGCGGCAAGACGGAAAGACCCCGUGAACCUUUACUAUAGCUUGACACUGAACAUUGAGCCUUGAUGUGUAGGAUAGGUGGGAGGCUUUGAAGUGUGGACGCCAGUCUGCAUGGAGCCGACCUUGAAAUACCACCCUUUAAUGUUUGAUGUUCUAACGUGGACCCGUUACCCGGGUUGCGGACAGUGUCUGGUGGGUAGUUUGACUGGGGCGGUCUCCUCCUAAAGAGUAACGGAGGAGCACGAAGGUUGGCUAAUCCUGGUCGGACAUCAGGAGGUUAGUGCAAUGGCAUAAGCCAGCUUGACUGCGAGCGUGACGGCGCGAGCAGGUGCGAAAGCAGGUCAUAGUGAUCCGGUGGUUCUGAAUGGAAGGGCCAUCGCUCAACGGAUAAAAGGUACUCCGGGGAUAACAGGCUGAUACCGCCCAAGAGUUCAUAUCGACGGCGGUGUUUGGCACCUCGAUGUCGGCUCAUCACAUCCUGGGGCUGAAGUAGGUCCCAAGGGUAUGGCUGUUCGCCAUUUAAAGUGGUACGCGAGCUGGGUUUAGAACGUCGUGAGACAGUUCGGUCCCUAUCUGCCGUGGGCGCUGGAGAACUGAGGGGGGCUGCUCCUAGUACGAGAGGACCGGAGUGGACGCAUCACUGGUGUUCGGGUUGUCAUGCCAAUGGCACUGCCCGGUAGCUAAAUGCGGAAGAGAUAAGUGCUGAAAGCAUCUAAGCACGAAACUUGCCCCGAGAUGAGUUCUCCCUGAGACUUAAAGUCUCCUGAAGGAACGUUGAAGACGACGACGUUGAUAGGCCGGGUGUGUAAGCGCAGCG
rnacentral:rRNA from 1 species